GACGAACGCUGGCGGCGUGCUUAACACAUGCAAGUCGAACGGAAAGGCCCUGCUUUUGUGGGGUGCUCGAGUGGCGAACGGGUGAGUAACACGUGAGUAACCUGCCCUUGACUUUGGGAUAACUUCAGGAAACUGGGGCUAAUACCGGAUAGGAGCUCCUGCUGCAUGGUGGGGGUUGGAAAGUUUCGGCGGUUGGGGAUGGACUCGCGGCUUAUGAGCUUGUUGGUGGGGUAGUUGCUUACCAAGGCUUUGACGGGUAGCCGGCCUGAGAGGGUGACCGGCCACAUUGGGACUGAGAUACGGACCAGACGCCUACGGGAGGCAGCAGUGGGGAAUAUUGCACAAUGGGCGGAAGUCUGAUGCAGCAACGCCGCGUGCGGGAUGACGGCCUUCGGGUUGUGAACCGCUUUCGCCUGUGACGAAGCGUGAGUGACGGUAAUGGGUAAAGAAGCACCGGCUAACUACGUG
rnacentral:rRNA from 1 species